rnacentral:rRNA from 1 species
AAUGAACGCUGGCGGCGUGGCUAAGACAUGCAAGUCGCACGGGCCCAGCAAUGGGUCAGUGGCGAACGGGUGAGUAAUGAAUCGCUAACGUGCCCCGGACUCUGGGAUAGCUAGCCGAAAGGCUAGGUAAUACCAGAUGACAUAUCUCUCCUGCAUGGGAGGGAUCUCAAAGGUCCGCCGGUCUGGGAGCGGGCGAUUUCGUAUCAGCUAGUUGGGAGGUAACGGCUCACCAAGGCGACGACGCGUAGCCGGACUGAGAGGUUGGCCGGCCACAUUGGGACUGAGACACUGCCCAGGACUCCUACGGGGGCUGCAGUAACGAAUCUUCCGCAAUGCACGCAAGUGUGACGGAGCGACGCCGCGUGUGGGACGAAGCCC